GGAGAAAGCAAAACCAGCUCCUGUAAAGAAAGAAACUGAAGUUAUCAAAGAAAAAGCCAAACCAGCCCCUGAGAAGAAAGAGGCUGAAGUCAUCAAGGAGAAAGCUAAACCAGCCCCUAAGAAGAAAGAGGCUGACGUCAUCAAAGAGAAAGCUAAGCCAGCCCCUGAGAAGAAAGAGGCUGUAGUCGUUAAGGAGAAAGCUAAACCAGCCCCUGAGAAGAAAG